UACGUAGGGUGCAAGCGUUGAUCGGAAUUACUGGGCGUAAAGCGUGCGCAGGCGGUUCGGAAAGAAAGAUGUGAAAUCCCAGGGCUUAACCUUGGAACUGCAUUUUUAACUGCCGGGCUAGAGUAUGUCAGAGGGGGGUAGAAUUCCACGUGUAGCAGUGAAAUGCGUAGAGAUGUGGAGGAAUACCGAUGGCGAAGGCAGCCCCCUGGGAUAAUACUGACGCUCAUGCACGAAAGCGUGGGGAGCAAACAGG
rnacentral:rRNA from 1 species